ACCUGGCUGGCUCAGCAGGUAAGGCAUAUGACUUGAUUUCAGGGUCAUGAGUUUGAGCCCCAUGUUGGGUA
rnacentral:tRNA from 1 species